GGUCGAGAUGAUCACCCCUAAACCAUAUAUAUUCUAUUUUAUGGGGCAACAAAACAAAACCAAUGAAAUAUAGUGGGAGUACCUCUGAGUCAUUCCCAACCCCUCAUGUUUGAGAACUUGUAAACGGUUGAGAUCCCCAACCCUUAAUCAUAAAUAUUCUUGUAUUGGACAAUAAAACGAAUAAAGUGAAAUAUAAUUAAGUCCCUCGGUGUAACCCCACCCCAUCCUGUUUUGAGAACUUGUAAACAGUCAAGAUCCACCCCCUUUUCGAAAACUUGAAAACUGUUGAAAUCCCCACACUGAAACAACAUAUAUUCUUGUACGGAAUAAUAAAACAAAUCAGAUGAAAUAAAAGGCUAGUCCCCUAGGGCCACUCUUACCCUACCUCCUGCCUGUUUGAGAACUUGUAAACUGUCUAGAUCCCCACCCCCAAAUCAUGAAUAUCACUUUACUAGACCGGACCAAUUUGUAUUGGACUUUGCUUAAUGUCAGGCGACCCGUGGGAAUGACUAAUUUUGAGAGCUUUGUUUGGGAGACUUCGUAGCAGCAUCCUGUUACAAUUAUUUCUUGAUAAAGUUUUUUCUUUUUUAAGUAGGAAAAAAAGGUAACCAUGCAAUCUACACACUAUCUAUUUGAAAUAUUACAAUCUACAGUUGCAAACUUUCCACAGGUGCUAUCCAGCACUUUGAUUUCU
rnacentral:lncRNA from 1 species